rnacentral:lncRNA from 1 species
AAAUACUAAUUGAUUUUUUUUUUUUUUUUUCAUAUGUAGAAUCGAGUCCGGCUAUGAUGCUUUUAAGUUUUCUGCCGUUAAAUCUACUAUUUUGAUCAUUUUCACCCGUUAGAUCAUACUAUUCAACCAACCAUCCACUCAACCAUAAGGAAUCGCUAUCAUCCUAACCGCAUAUCUCUUAAUUCAAAGGCCGAAAACCCACGAGCAUCAAUGACUUGAUACUUUUAAAAGUAUAUGAGCUCAGUUCCGUAGAACCGCCAAUUAUUUGCUA